rnacentral:rRNA from 1 species
ACGAACGCUGGCGGCGUGCUUAACACAUGCAAGUCGAACGGUGAAGCGCCUUCCUUUUUGGUGGGUGUGGAUGAGUGGCGAACGGGUGAGUAACACGUGAGUAACCUGCCCCCUUCUUCUGGAUAACCGCAUGAAAGUGUGGCUAAUACGGGAUAUUCUGGGUCUGUCGCAUGAUGGGUCUGGGAAAGAUAUUGUUUCGGUGGGGGAUGGGCUCGCGGCCUAUCAGCUUGUUGGUGGGGUGAUGGCCUACCAAGGCGGUGACGGGUAGCCGGCCUGAGAGGGUGGACGGUCACACUGGGACUGAGACACGGCCCAGACUCCUACGGGAGGCAGCAGGGGGGAAUAUUGCACAAUGGGCGCAAGCCUGAUGCAGCGACGCCGCGUGAGGGAUGGAGGCCUUCGGGUUGUGAACCUCUUUCGCCAGUGAAGCAGGCCUGCCUCGUUUGUGGGUGGGUUGACGGUAGCUGGAUAAGAAGCGCCGGCUAACUACGUG